GGCCCAGUAGCACAUGCUGUGCAUCUGCUUCAGCUCGACAGAAUGACAGCUUUUCAGCAGAAGGUCCCCUGUGCGACUCGGGGCUGGGCCA